UAUAUAAGAGUGUUAAUAAGCACAUUUAUUUUUGGUGUAAAUAGUUAUGUUUAAUUUCAUAUUAUAUAA
rnacentral:tRNA from 1 species